rnacentral:rRNA from 1 species
UAACGAUGAUAAUGCAUCCGGUGGAUGCCUAGGUGUGCCCCUCAAAGGGGUUAUGGGGGUUGAUAUAAACCAUAAUGGUUCGGUUUUUGCAGGUAGACACACCUGCACCGAACCUGAACACAGGGAACUGAAACAUCUUAGUACCUGUAGGAAAAUAUAUCCAGGAUAUUCCGUUAGUAGUGGGAACGAAGACGGAUCUUUGGCUGUUUAGAUAAAUAUAAGCAAGGUGUUGUUGCCUGGAAAGGCAAGCAUUGGUUGGUGAUAGCCCAACCACCUCUAAUUAAUUUAUCAAGAGAAAGUAAGACGAGGAACGAUAGACCUCGUCCGAAGAUAGGGGGACCACCCCCUAAGCCUAAAUAGGAGGGCACAACCGAUAGUGGACUAGUACCGUGAGGGAAAGGUGAAACAGAGACCCGAACAGGGCAGUGAAACAGAACCUGAAACCAGAUGCUAACAAUCAGUCGGAGGGUCCAAAGACCUGACGACGUACCUUUUGUAUAAUGGGUCAACGAGUUGUAGUUGCAAGCAAAGCUUGCGUCAAACAGCAAAGAGCGAAGCGAAAGCGAGUCCAAAGAGGGCAACAACAAGUUUGCAACAUCAAACCCGAAACCGAGUGAUCUAACCAUGGACAGAUUGAAGGCUGGCUAAGCUGGCUGGAGGAUCGAACCCGUGUGUGUUGCAAAACACUGGGAUGAUCUGUGGUUAGGGGUGAAAGGCCAAUCAAACUCGGAGAUAGCUGGUUCUCUGCGAAACCUAUUUAGGUAGGUCAUUAACCCAACCCCAAAGGGGGGUAGAGCACUGGAUGGAUGGUUAUAACACAUAGUUAUAUUUAAUCCAACCAAACUCCGAAUACCCUUCGGGCUAUGGUUAACAAUCACACCAUGGGCUCUAACGUCCAUGGUGAAGAGGGAAACAACCCAGACCUUGGAACAAGGUCCUUAAAUCUGAGCUAAGUGAGGAAAAUGAUGUCCAUUCCAUGUCGAUUAGGAUGUAGGCCCAGAAGCAGCCAUCAUCUAAGGAAAGCGUAACAGCUCACUAAUUAACACCAAUGGCUUUGUUUAAAAUGUAACGGGACUAAGCUCAGUACCGAAGCCAAGGGCAAUGCCAGUCGAGCAUUGCGGUAGCAGAGCGUUCCGUAGGCCAAAGAAGGCAUCCUGUGAGGGAUGCUGGAGGCUUCGGAAGUGAGAAUGUUGACAUGAGUAACGAUAAUGAAAGUAAGAAUCUUUCUCGCCGAAAGAUCAAGGUUUCCUGUUUAAAGUUGAUCUAAGCAGGGUUAGCCGGACCCUUAGGCCAAGCGGAAACGCAUAACCGAUGGCAAUCACGUUAAUAUUCGUGAGCCUUCUACAAGUGACUUAAUUUUGAGUUGUGUUAUAUCUUACUGGCUUGAUAAUAGCAUACUCAGGUUAACAGGAAAGAGCUUGUAGAUAUAAGUCCGUACCAGAAACCGACACAGGUGGUCGGGUAGAGUAUACUAAGGCGUUUGAGAUAAUUGUGCUGAAGGAACUCAGCAAACUACAUGCGUAACUUCGGGAGAAGCAUGGCCUGAUCUGGGCAACCAGAUCCAGGCGUAACACAACUAGGGGAAGCGACUGUUUAUCAAAAACACAGGACUCUGCGAAAUCGUAAGAUGAGGUAUAGAGUCUGACGCCUGCCCAGUGCUGGCAAGCGAAAGCUUGGAUGUUUGAAAAGCAUCCAGCCAAAGCCCCAGUAAACGGCGGCCGUAACUAUAACGGUCCAAAGGUAGCGAAACCCCUUGUCGGGUAAGUUCCGACCAGCAUGAAUGGCGUAACGACUCCCCCGCUGUCUCCAGCACAAGCUCAGUGAAAUUGAAAUCCCCGUGAAGAUGCGGGGAUCCUGCGGCAAGACGGAAAGACCCCGUGCACCUUUACUGCAACCCUGCAUUGAUGUCCCCUUGAUCGAAGGUACAGAGUAGAUGGCAAGCAAUGAAUAUUGGGCUCCAGCCCAAUCCAAGCUAUCAAUGAAACACCAUCCCUUCAUCAAACAACAUCUCACUGCUCUUUAGCCAAUCUUCAAGCAAGACAUUGCAAGGUGGGUAGUUUGACUGGGACGGUCGCCUCCUAAAGAGUAACGGAGGCGUGCAUAUGGUAGGCUCAUAACGUUUGGAAAGCGUUAGCAGAGUAUAAUGGCAUAAGCCUGCUUAGACUGCGAGACAGACAUGUCGAGCAGAGACGAAAGUCGGUCAUAGUGAUCCGAUGGCCCCAAGUGGAAGGGCCAUCGCUUAACGGACAAAGGUACGCCGGGGAUAACAGGCUAAUAGCCCCCAAGAGACCUUAUCGACGGGGCUGCUUGGCACCUCGAUGUCGACUCAUCGCAUCCUGGGGCAGAACAAGGUCCCAAGGGUAUGGCUGUUCGCCAUUUAAAGCGGUACGUGAGUUGGGUUCAGAACGUCGCAAGACAGUUCGGUCCCUAUCUACCGCA